UGCGGAAAUGACGUCACGUACGCGACUUUCUGCUCCAAGCUAACAUCCGAUCUGCAACACCAAACCAAUUGUUUAAUUCGCUUUUGGCUCCAGUUUCUUCACGUUCGUAUCAACUUCAUGUCUAAUAAACCAAUUUCGGUGGACUUUAAGCUUUCGGCCCGGUCAAAAAUGGCCGUUUGUGAUCAGAAAUGUGAGCAUAAAGUUGACAACACCACGAGUAGCAUGUAGCACAGAUGCUAACAAGUUAAACCCUUAUCGAACUGCAGAUUUGAAUCUCUAAUCGUGAGGGCGGAAUUAUUUUAGUUUGAUUUACGUGGUCAACGACACCCAGCAGUGACGGUGCCUGAGUCGGCGAGUCAUUAGCGGACCGGGCCGGGGGCUGUUUUCCUUCCUUGCCCCGGUGGUGAUGCUCGUCGUGGAUGCUUGAUGGGGCUCUUCAGGGUCAUGAUGCCGCCCAAGUUGCAGCUUUUGGCCGUGCUGACCUUCGCCGUCACUAUGCUCUUGAUCGAGAACCAGAUCCAAAGACUGGAGGAAUCCAGAGCCAAGCUCGAGCGCGCCAUGGCCAGACACGAGCUGUCCGAGGCGGAGCAGCAGCGUCACGGCGAAGACGGCGGUCGCAACCUGUCGGAGGACGCCGCCGCCGACGACACGGUGGUCAUUUACAACCGGGUGCCCAAGACGGCCAGCACGUCCUUCACCAACAUCGCCUACGACCUGUGCGCCAGGAACCGCUUCCACGUGCUGCACAUCAACACCAGCAAGAACAACCCCGUCAUGUCCCUGCAGGACCAGAUGCGUUUUGUUCACAACGUCACCUCGUGGCGAGGAAUGAAGCCCGGCUUCUACCACGGCCACGUGGCGUACCUGGACUUCUCCAAGUACAGCGUCAAGGGCAAGCCCCUGUACAUCAACGUGGUACGAGACCCCAUCGAGCGCCUGGUGUCCUACUACUACUUCCUGCGCUUUGGAGACGACUACCGGCCGGGCCUGCGGCGGAGGAAGCAAGGCGACAAGAUGACCUUCGACGAGUGCGUGGCGUCCGGUGGCUCCGACUGCGCCCCCGAGAAACUCUGGCUGCAGAUUCCCUUCUUCUGUGGACACCAUUCAGAGUGCUGGAAUGUGGGCAGUCACUGGGCGCUGGAGCAGGCCAAGUACAACCUGGUCAACGAGUACCUGCUGGUGGGCGUGACUGAGGAGCUGGAGGACUUCAUCAUGAUCCUGGAGGCCACGCUGCCGCGCUUCUUCAAGGGCGCCACCGACCUCUACAAGAUGGGUAAGAAGUCGCACCUGCGUAAGACCACCGAGAAGAAGCUUCCCACCCGGGAGACGGUGGGCAAACUACAGCAGUCCAAGAUCUGGAAGAUCGAGAACGAGUUCUACGAGUUUGCCCUGGAGCAGUUCCAGUUUGUACGGGCGCACGCCGUCCGGGAGAAGGACGGCGAGCUCAUCGUGCUGCCGCAGAGCUUCUUCUAUGAGAAGAUCUACCCCAAAGCCACCUGAGCAACUUUGGGGAGGACCAACACAUACAUGCUGGAUUCCACGAUUGUUUACAGGACAAGCGUCUUCAUUACGAAGCGCCGCGGUUUCCUUUUCACCGGGGUGAGAUCAGCCCUGUGGGGAGCAUCCAAACAUCUGAGGCCGGCUCCGCCAUCGUCUGCUUCAUAGUGCAGCUGCUCAGGACAAAAAGGUGCCAAAGGACUCAAAGAUCUCAGCAGAGAAAAGCGAUGAUCAAUUUUCUGAGGCUGGGAAUGCCUGCCCGCACACACUUCCCCACAGUCGUCUUAUUCUUCCCUAAAACCAACACCUGAACCAAUUGUCUUCUUCCCGAAAAAAAAAACUGGCUAGAAUCAACAGAUAAAUCAGUCGUCGCUUCCAUAAAACUAACACCUGAAUCAUUUUUUCCUUUUUCCAGUCUUCUACUUCCUGGAAAAAACAACAACGCUUGAACCAGUUUUCUUCUUCUGUUCUACCAAUGCCUGAACUAGUCUGCUUCCCGACCGGAAUUAGUCUUCUUCCUCAAAACAAACACCCGAAAGUUUUCUUUGCUAAAACCAACACCUGAACCAGUUUUCCUCUUGCAGGGUACCAACAGCUGAUCAGUCAUCAUCGUCCCUAAAAACAACUUUCGAACCAGUCUUCUUCCUUAAGAACCACACCUGUCUUUGUUUUCUUUGAAACCAACACCUGAACCAAUCUUCACUACGAAGGUGUUCUUCAUCUCUUUGUGCUGCUUCUGCUUCUGAUUCUGCUCCCAUAUGCAGGGAGAGAUCUAGGACCAGCUCCUGCUUUUAUGUCCCCAAUUGGCACGUCUUUGUUUAAAUGUUAAAAGAGCGGGUGGAGGUUUUGGGAGAUGUUUCGUUUUUUCCUCUCUUAAUCUUUGGACCAAAAUAUUCCAGAAAGAAUAAGCGGAGCUGCCAAAUGUUACGGAACAUCCGUAUUUUGUCACGGAAAUCACUGAACGUUGACUCGUUACGGCCGUAACACUGACUGUUCCGGAUAUAUUAAAAAAAUCCAGCGUCUGACAUUAGCGGCACAUCCACAUUGAACAGCUGCUGGGUGCACGCGAUUGUAUUGCAUUUAUGUUUGCAUCUGCUAAAUUGGCAAUAUAGAAAAGCAGAAAAAACAAGUUGCUUAGAGCUGGUUGAACUUGGUGUCAGCCCACCUUAAGGGGGAGAUUUUAAAUGUCUGUGACCAAAGCCACGCCCCUCACUGACGUCCACGAGACUUGCACUGUAAACAAGCAGAUGUUAGCCAUGGCUAACGCUGGUAGCAGGACUCAUCCAAAAUGGGGUGUUACUAUAACACGAAAUUAAAUCGGUUUGAAGUUGUAUUUCUUGCAAUGUACAGACAAUUACAAAUCAAAAAGAGGUGAUAAACGUACCUGUCGAGCAGACAUGUUGCUAGGGGCGUGUAGGUUCUGAACUCUCUCAGCUGCCUGUGGCCCCUCUAUCCCUAAAAGGCAGCUUUUAAUGUCACCCUUGUGUUGUCUCUGAAUCCCUCCUAUUGCUUCUUUUUGUUGCUAACCGCAGGUGGAUAUUCCACCGUAGUUUCGGCAAAGCUGCUCAAACCCAACGUAAGUGGUGACAGCGCAAGGCCGCGAGGGUAUGUGGACUGUGAGUGUGCCCACGAGCGCAUGAGAAUAAUGGACACCUUGUCAGUCACGCCUUCUGUCUCUGAUUGGUUGUUUUUUCUCAGGUGCGGUGGUUCCGUCAGUCAAAUGACAGGUAGAAAAUGGGACGAGAGAGGGUGGAUUUUUGUGUCUUUUUUAAGAUCCUCUUCCUCAUAUACUGGCAUGUAAGGUCAAACUGACAGUUUGAACAAAAAUGACAAAGACGUUUUGGGUUUUUUUUCUAGUUUAAAAAAUCUAUUUUUCAAGUUUUGUCAUGAAGUGUUGUAAAUAAAGUGUCAUGAAAAGUCUUAACAAAUUGCACUCUGGCCCUCACUUGAAUACCGGGGCCUUGUGAAAGUGGAACGUGAAC